rnacentral:rRNA from 1 species
GACAGAGGGUGCAAACGUUGUUCGGAAUUACUGGGCGUAAAGCGUGUGUAGGCGGUGAGGUAAGUCGGAUGUGAAAGCCCAGGGCUCAACCCUGGAAGUGCACUCGAUACUGCUUCGCUUGAGUACUGGAGAGGUCGGUGGAAUUCUCGGUGUAGAGGUGAAAUUCGUAGAUAUCGAGAGGAACAUCUGUGGCGAAGGCGGCCGACUGGACAGAUACUGACGCUGAGGUGCGAAAGCGUGGGGAGCAAACAGG